AUUGAACGCUGGCGGCAGGCUUAACACAUGCAAGUCGAGCGGUAGCACAAGAGAGCUUGCUCUCUGGGUGACGAGCGGCGGACGGGUGAGUAAUGUCUGGGAAACUGCCUGAUGGAGGGGGAUAACUACUGGAAACGGUAGCUAAUACCGCAUAACGUCGCAAGACCAAAGAGGGGGACCUUCGGGCCUCUUGCCAUCAGAUGUGCCCAGAUGGGAUUAGCUAGUAGGUGGGGUAAUGGCUCACCUAGGCGACGAUCCCUAGCUGGUCUGAGAGGAUGACCAGCCACACUGGAACUGAGACACGGUCCAGACUCCUACGGGAGGCAGCAGUGGGGAAUAUUGCACAAUGGGCGCAAGCCUGAUGCAGCCAUGCCGCGUGUGUGAAGAAGGCCUUCGGGUUGUAAAGCACUUUCAGCGAGGAGGAAGGUGGUGAACUUAAUACGUUCAUCAAUUGACGUUACUCGCAGAAGAAGCACCGGCUAACUCCGUGCCAGCAGCCGCGGUAAUACGGAGGGUGCAAGCGUUAAUCGGAAUUACUGGGCGUAAAGCGCACGCAGGCGGUUUGUUAAGUCAGAUGUGAAAUCCCCGGGCUCAACCUGGGAACUGCAUUUGAAACUGGCAAGCUAGAGUCUCGUAGAGGGGGGGUAGAAUUCCAGGUGUAGCGGUGAAAUGCGUAGAGAUCUGGAGGAAUACCGGUGGCGAAGGCGGCCCCCUGGACGAAGACUGACGCUCAGGUGCGAAAGCGUGGGGAGCAAACAGGAUUAGAUACCCUGGUAGUCCACGCUGUAAACGAUGUCGAUUUGGAGGUUGUGCCCUUGAGGCGUGGCUUCCGGAGCUAACGCGUUAAAUCGACCGCCUGGGGAGUACGGCCGCAAGGUUAAAACUCAAAUGAAUCGACGGGGGCCCGCACAAGCGGUGGAGCAUGUGGUUUAAUUCGAUGCAACGCGAAGAACCUUACCUACUCUUGACAUCCAGAGAACUUUCCAGAGAUGGAUUGGUGCCUUCGGGAACUCUGAGACAGGUGCUGCAUGGCUGUCGUCAGCUCGUGUUGUGAAAUGUUGGGUUAAGUCCCGCAUCGAGCGCAACCCUUAUCCUUUGUUGCCAGCGGUUCGGCCGGGAACUCAAAGGAGACUGCCAGUGAUAAACUGGAGGAAGGUGGGGAUGGCGUCAAGUCAUCAUGGCCCUUACGAGUAGGGCUACACACGUGCUACAAUGGCAUAUACAAAGAGAAGCGACCUCGCGAGAGCAAGCGGACCUCAUAAAGUAUGUCGUAGUCCGGAUUGGAGUCUGCAACUCGACUCCAUGAAGUCGGAAUCGCUAGUAAUCGUAGAUCAGAAUGCUACGGUGAAUACGUUCCCGGGCCU
rnacentral:rRNA from 1 species